rnacentral:rRNA from 1 species
UACGAAGGGGGGCUAGCGUUGCUCGGAAUCACUGGGCGUAAAGGGUGCGUAGGCGGGUCUUUUAAGUCAGGGGUGAAAUCCUGGAGCUCAACUCCAGAACUGCCUUUGAUACUGAGGAUCUUGAGUCCGGGAGAGGUGAGUGGAACUGCGAGUGUAGAGGUGAAAAUUCGUAGAUAUUCGCAAGAAACACCAGUGGCGAAGGCGGCUCACUGGCCCGGUACUGACGCUGAGGCACGAAAAGCGUGGGGG